AUGGCGGUGAUCGCGAUCCUUGUUAGCGCGCUGGUGUUGCUCUCGCCGGCGGCGGCCGAGCUGCAGCGGGUGCAGCACUCGCCAAAGGAGGAUGGGUCACUCACCGUGCUCGCCGUCGGGGACUGGGGAAGGGGUGGACAGUUCAACCAGACACUGGUUGCCGAGCAGAUGGGAGUGAUCGGCGAGAAGCUGGCCGCCGACUUUGUCAUCUCCACCGGCGACAACUUCUACAACGACGGCCUCGCCGGUGACAACGACACGGCCUUCUUCAUGGCGUCCUUCACCGACAUCUACACCGCCUCCAGCAUUCAGAAGCCUUGGUACAUCGUCCUCGGCAACCACGACUACACGGGCGACGCGCUGGCGCAGCAGAGCCCGGCCAUUCGCGAGGUGGACAGCCGGUGGACCUCCGUCAACAAGUCCUUCAUCGUGGAAGCAGACAUCGUGGACUUCUUCCUGGUGGACACGUCGCCCUUCGUCCUCAAGUACUGGAACGAGAGCAAGUUCGACUGGAGGAACGUGGCUCCCCGCGACACCUACAUCGCCACCCUCCUCCAGGACCUGGACGACGCCCUGGCGGCGUCCAACGCGACGUGGAAGGUCGUCGUCGGCCACCACCCCGUCAGCAGCGGCUGCGAGCACGGCAACACCACCGAGCUCCGCGAGCACCUCCUCCCACUCCUCAAGGCCCAUGGGGUUGACAUGUACCUCAACGGCCACGACCACUGCUUGCAACACAUCACCAGCAUCGACAGCCCGGUGGAGUUCGUGACGAGCGGCGGCGGGUCCAAGGCGUGGGCGGGCAAGUUCAAGGCCACCUCCGACAAGAUGGAGUUCCUGUAUGACGGCCAGGGCUUCCUGUCCAUGGAGCUCACGGCGGCCGAGGCGCGCCUCGCCUUUUACGACGUCUCCGGCGCCGUCCUGCACAGCUGGGGGCUCACCAAGUCGGCGCCAGCCAGCAUCAUCUCGUGA
rnacentral:rRNA from 1 species